AGAGUUGAUCCUGGCUUAGGAUGAACGCUAGCGGCAGGCUUAACACAUGCAAGUCGAGGGGCAACGCGAGUAGCAAUACUGGCGGCGACCGGCGCAAGGGUGCGUAACGCGUGAGCAACAUGCCCGUAUCAGGGGGAUAAUCCAGGGAAACUUGGUCUAAUACCCCAUAGUAAUUUUUGUAAGGCAUCUUAGUAAGAGUUUAAAGCUUUAGGUGGAUACGGAUUGGCUCGCGUGACAUUAGCUGGAUGGUAAGGUAACGGCUUACCAUGGCUAUGAUGUCUAGGGGUUCUGAGAGGAAGGUCCCCCACACUGGAACUGAGACACGGUCCAGACUCCUACGGGAGGCAGCAGUGAGGAAUAUUGGACAAUGGAUGGAAAUCUGAUCCAGCCAUGCCGCGUGAAAAGGAAGAAGGUCCUAUGGAUUGUAAACUUCUUUUGUAUGGGAGCAAUAAGGCCUACGAGUAGGCUGAUGAGAGUACCAUACGAAUAAGCACCGGCUAACUCCGUGCCAGCAGCGGC
rnacentral:rRNA from 1 species